ACGAACGCUGGCGGCGUGCUUCACCCCUGCAAGUCGAACGGAAAGGCCCUGCUUUUGUGGGGUGCUCGAGUGGCGAACGGGUGAGUAACACGUGAGUAACCUGCCCUUGACUUUGGGAUAACUUCAGGAAACUGGGGCUAAUACCGGAUAGGAGCUCCUGCUGCAUGGUGGGGGUUGGAAAGUUUCGGCGGUUGGGGAUGGACUCGCGGCUUAUCAGCUUGUUGGUGGGGUAGUGGCUUACCAAGGCUUUGACGGGUAGCCGGCCUGAGAGGGUGACCGGCCACAUUGGGACUGAGAUACGGCCCAGACUCAUACGGGAGGCAGCAGUGGGGAAUAUUGCACAAUGGGCGGAAGCCUGAUGCAGCAACGCCGCGUGCGGGAUGACGGCCUUCGGGUUGUAAACCGCUUUCGCCUGUGACGAAGCGUGAGUGACGGUAAUGGGUAAAGAAGCACCGGCUAACUACGUG
rnacentral:rRNA from 1 species